rnacentral:rRNA from 1 species
CGGACGGGUGAGUAAUGCUUAGGAAUCUGCCUAUUAGUGGGGGACAACAUUCCGAAAGGAAUGCUAAUACCGCAUACGUCCUACGGGAGAAAGCAGGGGACCUUCGGACCUUGCGCUAAUAGAUGAGCCUAAGUCGGAUUAGCUAGUUGGUGGGGUAAAGGCCUACCAAGGCGACGAUCUGUAGCGGGUCUGAGAGGAUGAUCCGCCACACUGGGACUGAGACACGGCCCAGACUCCUACGGGAGGCAGC